UUUCAUUCUGUUUUUCUGUGUAUUAUGUUGAUACUAUAAAUUCUACAUAUGUGUUAUAUAUAUUCCAUAUAUUGAAUAUAUAGUACAUACUUGCUGUAUAAUACAUGUAACAUAUAUGGCUUAUAUGCUACCUAGUGUGUUUCAUGUAUCAUAACAUCACAUAAUACUGAGUAACAUUUUUAAGCAUAAUUUUGAUUACUGGCCAACUUGUUCUUACAUUUUUUUUAAUCACCAUGUAAGAUCUGCUAUCACAGUUAUUUUACUUUUAUGGCCCCAGGCAAAUAAUAGUUAUUGCUCCUGAAAAUUCUCUUAGCCCUUAAGAAACAUAAUCCUUUCAGUCAGCUCUCAGUCCAUUCUCUGCCUCAUCCUGAGGCUCAUCUUAUUUCAGUAUCCCGACUUCUCCAGCUUAUGAACACCAUCCCCACACUCCCAAACAGCCACUGAGAGCAAAGAAACAUUGACACGACUGGGAUGAUUGUAAAAAAUAAACAGUAUUUAUAGUUCCUGAGGCAAACAGCAGAUGACAACCUGUACGGGGAGGGUGUUUCAAACUCAGCUGCAGUGUCAUCUCUUCCAGAAAGCCUUAGUGCCCUCAGCUCUGGAUGACCUGCCCAAGCACCAGCCUGGCCAUUGUACUGCAUCCUACCAGUACUGAAAUAAGCUCUACCAUGACCAGAUAGGCCGUAACUCUCCUAAAGGUGAUGUCAGUGCGCCCCUCAUCCUUAUGUUACAAGUACUUUAGACUGCUCGAUCCAUAGCAUAGAAAAAAAAAUAAGGACUUGGGGACUGGACCAUAUUUCAGGAGUCAAGAAUGUCCUGGAGGAUCGGAAGGUCAGAAGUACUGAAUAGUUCAUUCUGGAAGACAGAGUUGGGAUUGAGUCCUCUCUGUUGGCUCAUUUCAAGACAGGUUUUCUGCAGGUGUCCAAGAUCGCUGCCUAGAACUCCAGGUCCCUUACAUCCUCCCAUAAUCUCCACUGGUGAAAGAGGUCAUUUUUCCUGUUAGUGUCUUCAAAAGCCCUGGAUCAUAUCAGAAAAAUGUGAGACAAAAACACAGCUAAUACUGUCAGC
rnacentral:lncRNA from 1 species